rnacentral:rRNA from 1 species
UACGUAGGAGGCAAGCGUUGUCCGGAGUUACUGGGCGUAAAGCGUGUGUAGGCGGUCGGAUGCGUCCGGUGUGAAAUCUCCCGGCUUACCUGGGAGGGGGCAUCGGGAUACGGUCGGACUUGAGGGCAUCAGAGGCCAGUAGAACUCCCGGUGGACCAGUGAAAUGGGUAGAGAUCGGGAGGAACACUCGUGGCGAAGGCGGCCACCUGGACCAGUACUGACGCUGAGGCACGAAAGCGUGGGGAGCAAACAGG